AUUUUUAUGCAGCGUCGACGACAAUCCUGUUUUAUACAUGCAGUAUAUUUACAUAUAAGUAGCAGAAGCAAUUGCUGUGUGGAAUAUGAACACGCAAGCAUGGAAGCGCGAGUACCACAAAUUUUCACAGACUGAUUACAGCAUAAUGCAGUGUGUUCACAGGUUACGUCCAGGCCAAUGGGCACUAAUUAAAAUAACACUAUUAAAUAAGAUAAUAAUAGAUUAAUAAACUUAUUUCCAUGCUUUACGUUUCUGUCUUGACAGGAUUUUGUGUCGUUUCAACUCCUCUUAAAAUAGCUGCAGCUAUAAUACCUGCUCGCUAGUAACUGACUAAGGGAGGACAGGAAGAACAAGACGGCAAAAAGACAACUGGGAUUACAUUUCUGUCGAGCAAGCCAACCACAUUCUUUCAUCAGCGAAGAAGUGUUAUAAAGUUUGGCGAAGAGCUAUAUUGAAAGUAUGUGGCUGAAAAGUCUCUUAAUAGUCGAGACUACAGUUCAAGUUGUCUACAUUAAACACAUGAGGUGAAAACAGGAACGUGCUCUCCUUGUUCACAGAUCUUGGGUUUCUUGUCACGUUUCUUGACUCUGACAAUUAUUUCAUACCUAUAUAGCGUAUUAGCGAUUGUCCUAUUAGAGAGUUUGGGAAAGCGACGGGAAGUGGCGACGGCAACGUCUGUCACCGAGCAGAGGCCUGGGAAAGAAUACGUUGCAGAAACGUCACAGUUGCCACCAGAAUUCUGUUUGGGUAUUGUUUGGCGGUAAAAUUUAAAACUUAAUUUUUGUGAAUUCAAAAUGAAUGAAAUUAUGAAAUUAAUAAUUCAUGAG